rnacentral:rRNA from 1 species
CCGGCGACCGGCGCACGGGUGAGUAACACGUAUGGAACCUGCCCGCAGCAGGGGGAUAAGCGGAAGGAAAUUCCGUCUAAUACCGCGUAACAACGUUGGGAGGCAUCUCCCGAUGUUUAAAGAUUUAUCGGCUGCGGAUGGCCAUGCGGCGCAUUAGCUAGUCGGCGGGGUAACGGCCCACCGAGGCGACGAUGCGUAGGGGUUCUGAGAGGAAGGUCCCCCACACUGGUACUGAGACACGGACCAGACUCCUACGGAAGGCAGCAG